rnacentral:rRNA from 1 species
AUAUUGCUCAAUGGGAGAAAUCCUGAAGCAGCAACGCCGCGUGGAGGAUGAAGGGUCUAUGACUUGUAAACUCCUGUAAAGAAGGAAAAAAUUCCCAUUAGAUGGGAGAUGAUGGUACUUCUGGAGUAAGCCCCGGCUAACUACGUGCCAGCAGCCGCGGUAAUACGUAGGGGGCAAGCGUUGCCCGGAUUUACUGGGUGUAAAGGGUGCUCAGGCGGAUUUGUAAGUCAGAGGUGAAAUCUUACAGCUUAACUGUGAAAAUGCCUUUGAUACUGCACGCCUAGAGUAUGGAAGAGAGGGCUGGAAUAUCUGGUGUAGCAUCGAAAUGCGCAGAUAUCAGAUAGAACACCAAUGGCGAAGGCAGUCACUUGGUCCAUUACUGACGCUAAAGCACGAAAGCGUGGGU